rnacentral:tRNA from 1 species
GGGGAUGUGGCUCAGCAGUAGAGCGCCUGCCUGGCUCUCAGGAAGCCCCAGGUUUCAUCCCCA